UCGCGGUGCAUUGUGGGGAGGUUGUGGUCCUCCAGCGGCUCGGUUCGGAAUAAUGUCUGCCUCGGAGGCAGCGGACGGUUUUUCCCCGGAAUUAUGCCCGAGCUUCGCCGUGAUCUGCUCGUUUCUGGAGCGGUAUGGAGCAAUGCUGGACCUGCCGGAGGUGUCGUUCCCGGUGCUGGAGCGCAGUCUGCAGGAGAGCAGCGCGGUACCCAAACUCCUCGUGGACCUUCACGUGAAGUUACUGCGGAAAAUUGGCAAGUCUGUGUCUGCAGACAGAUGGGAGAAGAAUCUCAUUAAGAUCUGUCAGGAGUUUAACACCACAUGGGCAUGGGAGCUGGAAAAGAAAGGUUACCGAGAGAUGACAGUGGAGUGUAAGACAGGAAUAUUGAAGUACUUGUGUGAAUGCCAGUUUGAUGACAAUGUCAAGUUUAAAACCGCUAUCAAUGAAGAGGAUCCGGAUAAAAUGCGUCUUCAGCCCAUCGGCAGAGACAAAGAUGGCCUCAUGUACUGGUUCCAGCUAGAUCAAGACCAUAAUGUGAGGGUCUAUGUAGAAGAACAGGAUGAUCUGGAUGGGUCUUCUUGGAAGUGUAUAGUAAGAAAUAGAGACGACCUGGCUCAAAUCCUUGGAUUGUUGAAGACUCAAAUUGAUCCAGCACUUUUGGUAAAGAAGGAUCAGGAGGAGGGCUCAUCUAGUAACAGUCCGAACCCAGACAAUGAAGAGAACAAGAAAAAAGAGGGAGCUGAAGCGGAGAUCAGAGAUGAAAAGUCACAAAAUGAUAUAUCCACAUCUGAAAAUAAGGAAAACAUUUUGGAGAAAGACAAUGCAAAGCAAGAAGAUACAGAGACCACAGAUGGUUUGUCGGAAAAAGGCUUGAAGGUAAAAGAAGAGCAGCAGAAACAUUCGGAGACGGCAAACGGCACUGGCGUUAUUACUGGAUCGAUCAAAGAAGAGCCACAGGAUGAGGAGGAGAAAGCCAAGAACUUGUCAACACCUUCACAGAAUGCAGAACAGACAGAGGAUGUGAAAAGAAAAACUUUAGAAGAGACUCAAAGAGCUUUGAAAAAUGACCAUCAAGCCAAAAUCCCCCUGAAAAAGCGGGAAAUGAAACUAAGUGAAGACUUCGACAGCAACAGCACAGGAGUACGAAAUGUUCCUGUCGUUCCGGUGAAAGAAUCGCGGACGUAUUUCGACGACAGCAGAUCGGGUGCCGAAAAAAUCAACGGCCACGUCCCUCACCUUACGUUAUCUGAGAGUGAAGCGCAAAAAGGGUCAGAGAGUCUUCAAAAAGAAAGCACAGAAGAGAGCAAGUCAGAAAAUCUCCCUCUUGUUUUAGAGAAAUCCAAAGAGAGGAAAAAGGAGAGAAAGGAUGACCAGAAGGAAGAGAAAAUGGAUAAGAAUGAAACCAGAUCGUGUGCUGAAGAGCAAAUGGAAGUGGAGAAGCCUGAUGAAUCCUGUGCUGAGGAGAACAAAGAAAAAUCUGAAACUUCUCAAUCUCACAAAGAAGAAAAACCCUCAUCAGUAAGUAAACAGUCAGAAAAGACACCUGAUUCUGAAAAAGUAAUUGACAAUAAAAAAUCUCCCAGUGCUGACAGUAUGGAUGCUACUGAAGUAAAUACAUCAACACUGCCAGAAGAGUCAACAAAAGCAGAAUCGAAAGAUCUUGCAAACAAGGAGUCAGUGAAAGAUCUCUCAAAAGAAGCCACGAAAGAGCUCCCAAACAAAGAAUCGUCAAGAGAUCUUGCAAGAGACAAGUCAGUGAAAAUUCCCUUAAAAGAUGAGCCUACAAAAGAUCAGUCAGUGAAACAUCUCUCAGAAGAACAGACUUCAAUUGAAAAGCCAACUAAAGACGCCUCAAAAGAAGAUCUCCCGAACACAGAAUCGUCAAAAGAGUCAAUAAAAGAUCUUCCAAAAGGUGAGCCAGCAAAAGAGUCACUUAAAGAUCUCUCGAAAGAAGAGACUUCAAAAGAAGAGUCAAUGAAAAUCCUCCCAGAUGAACAGUCCAAGAAAGAUCUCGCAGAAGAAAGUACGCAAUCUCCCAAAGACUCCAAUGAAGACCAUGAAAAAGCAGAUACGAAUGCUUCCAUGCCGAUGGAAACUGAAUCAUUCCAGUCAUCUAAAACAGAAGAAUCUUCUUCCCGUGAAGUAAUCAAACCACAUUCUGGCACAGAAAAGCCAGAGAACACAGAAGAAACGAAACCUCAUCACAGCUCUGCAGACACCACCACAGAAAAAGAGCCAACUGCCAUUGUCUCAAAAACUGAAAAACAGUCCAUGUCUGAAGCAAAAAACAGAGAAAGUGAGUCCAUUGCCUCCAAACCUUCUGAAGAGACUGAUGGCCCUCAAGGUAAAUCGCAAGAGCAGCCUAAGUCAGCAUCAAGUGAUCUUGAAAAAUCUGUUUCUGAUUCAACGAGUAAGCCAAGCACACCAAAAACCACAGAGAAAGGAGACGGUGAGGAAAAAUGUGAUACAGCUGAAACUGAUAAAAAUAAGAAUCUGGAAAUGUCAAAAGACAAGGAUGAAAAGGGUGAAGCUGCAAACAGCUCUGAAGAAUCUGCAUUGAAAAAAUCAGAUGAGGUUAAAGCUACAGAACAACCCAAUGAGUCCAAGAGUUUGGAGAAACCUCCUUUGAACAGAGAACAUGAAAAGGAACCUGAAUCAGAGGAAGGGAGCAAAGAGAAGCCAAUGGAGGUUGAUUCAGCGAUCAGUAAAGCUGAUAAAAUUCAAUCUGAGACUACAACAGCAAGUAAGAAGGAAACCGAUGUUCCCGUGGAUCAAAACACCACCUCAAUCAAACAAUCUAAGCAAGACGCAGCUUCUGAAGAGCGUGAGGCUUCCGGGGAUGUUCGAGAAAAAAGCAGCACUGCUGUGAAAAGCAGUAAAAGACCAGGCCGGCCUCCAAAGAAAGCUCAGGAGAGUCAGGAUGAGGAUAAAACAGGCGAAGAACAAGAAGAAAAGGCACGGCAGGAAGGAAUUCGCAUGAAGAUCAAAAUCCCAGCUCACAAGCGGAAGGCGGAACUUCAGAGAGAAGAGGCGAGGGGAGAUUCAGAGUCUGAGGUGACUGACGGCAGGUGCUUGAGGAGAUCUCCGAGAAUCUGCAGACCCACCGCUAAAGCGGUGGAGAUCCAGGAUAGGAGGGCAGAGCGGAAGCAGGCCACUCCGGUGUCGGAGAAAGAAAAGGAUGACAAUGAAGACAAAGAGGAGGAGGAUACUGUACAAAGGAAGCCAAGGAAAGCUGAGAAUCUGCAGCCAGAUGGCCAAACAAAACCAAAGGUGGGUAGACGUCGAAAACGACAACCAUGGUCUCGCAUGAGACGUAAAAAGAAAUGUUCGGACGACGACGAUGAUGACGAGGAGAGCGAGAGUGAAGAAGAGGAGACGGAGGAGGAUGACAGCGACGAAGACUACAAGGUGGAAAAGACCAGGAAAAGAAGGAGAAACCGAAACCGAGAGCGGAACAGCUCUGACUCCUCUACCUCUUCAUCAGAAAAUGAUGAACCCAAUGACGACCCCUGCAAACACUGUGGCCUUCCCAACCAUCCCGAGCUGAUACUCCUGUGUGAUUCCUGUGACAGCGGCUACCACACUGCCUGUCUGCGGCCUCCGCUCAUGAUCAUUCCAGACGGGGAAUGGUUCUGCCCCCCCUGCCAGCAUAAGCAACUUUGCGACAGACUCGAAGAGCAAUUGCAGAAUUUGGAUGCUGCCCUCAAAAAGAAAGAACGUGCAGAGCGAAGGAAAGAGCGACUGGUGUAUGUUGGCAUCAGUGUAGAGAACAUCAUCACUCCCUCUGUGGAAGUGGAGGAAGAAAAGGAGGAGCUAGUGAAAGAGAAGAAAGAAGUGAAGAAAAGCAAAAGUUGGGGACGGAGAUCAACCAGGGCGAAGAAAUACAUAAGCUACAGGUUUGAUGAGUUUGAUGAAGCGAUCGAAGAAGCAAUUGAGGAAGACAUUAAAGAGGCAGAGGGUGGAGGAGCAGGCCGGGGAAAGGACAUGGCGAACAUCACAGGGCACAGAGAGAAGGACAUGUCCACCAUCCUACAGGAGGAUGGGAAGGAGAACGGGCGGCCGCGGCAAACUAGCGCAGCUCAGAAAAAGAAGCGGCGGCGUCUCAACGAUCUCGACAGCGACAGCACCGUGGAUGAGGAAGAGAGUGAAGACGAGUUCCGUCUCAGUGAAAGUUCAGAGGAUGAAGAGUUUGUGGCGUCAGAUAAUGAGGCGGAGAGUGAAGCAGAAGUCCCGUCCUAUGAGGACAGUGACUUUGGGAGCGAUGUUGCACGCCCGCGGAGGAGACAGCCGCCACGCAGGAGACGCAAACCCAGAGGAUACUCUGACGAGGAAGAGCUGGAAACUGAUGAAGAGGAGGAGGAGGAGGAGAUGGUGACGGAAGGCUCUAGUGAAUUCAGUGCCAGCGAUCUGGACGUCCGCUGUCGGCGGUCCUAUCGGAGUCGUAAGCAAGAGGUGAAUUACUGUGAAAGCUCAGAUUCUGACGGCUCACAGGCCAGCACCAACAAAGACAAAAAGAAGAAGCGCAGACGGCUUUCCAGCUCUGACAGCGAAGUUAGUUUCCAGUCUGAAUCUGAUGAAGAAGACCGGAAGCCCAAGAAGAUAAGAGCGGACUCGUCUGAGGAAGAAUCCAGGAAACGUCGAAGACGCCUGUCCCUCAAACGCCGGAGGGAGUCGGAGGAUGACGACGACGACGACGAUUCAGACGAAUCCGAGGAAGAGGAGCGGCCCAUCCGGAAGCGCGUGAACCGCAUAGACUCCGAUGACAGCGAGAGCGAAGAAGAGGUAAAGAAGAGCCCAUCAGAGAAAGAGAAAGACAAAGAGACAGAGGAGACCGUUGCCAAAGGGCCCAGUCCACUAGACUACAACUUGGUGGAGCUUCCUCCAACUAACGGACAGAGCCCGAUGAAGGGUUUGGAGGGUCUCAUCCCGCGACCCGGCGUGGGAGUGACGCCUAAAAACGGCAACGCCCCAUCAGCGCCGAACGGCAUGGAGAUCCCCGCGCAGGACGAAGACGAAGACGAUCUUUUGGGCGUCACAGACCUCGUAGACUAUAUUCGUCUUGGUUGUAGUCAGCUUUUACGUUUUCUCUUUGUUGGAGGUUAAUGACAGGACGUCGUGGCAGAUUUUCGACAGUAAUAGACAAGGAGCAAGAGAAGAGCACGCUGAACACAAGAGGCUGGACAAAAGCAGAGACAUUCCAAGAGCCCAGUGAAGAGGACCAACAUUUUUGGAGAAAGGACAGAGACCUACAUCAUAAUCUCAUUCACAUGAACUCAGGCCUGGAGAGACCAGUAUCAUCUGUAAAUACACGUAAAACCUUCAUAUGCAUCUGGAUCACUGAGCAAUAAAAUAAAACGAUAUUGUGAAACAGUAAAAUACAUAUCCACCUUUUUCUUCCCGUAAGAACGUCUGGCUUCCGGUCCACGUCCAGCUAUUUUUAGCUGUACAAAACAGCUUGUUUUGCUGUUUGAUAUUGCAAAUUGUCUUACCAUAUUAUUAGAAUCUUCUUAUUUCCCUAUAGCGGAUAAUGAACCGGAAGUCUCACUACUUCCACGUUGACGAAAAAGGUGAAUAGACGGUUUGCAAUUACGUCACGAUUUGGUCAGUUACUCGAAUGCACGACCAUAUUGGUGAUACUUGGAUGUAAACAACAGCAUGGAUUGCAUGGAUAUUAGUUGUUCCACUAAUUUAUGCCGUCUAAACCAUGAAAAAUGUGCGGAAGCUGCUAUAUCAUAUAGAGAAGGACUUAGUAAGCAGAAAAGGGUGUAAUAGUUUGACAAAAAUAAAGUUAAUAGGUGGUAAAGAUAAGUACGAGCAGUGUUAAUUAAGAUAUUAGCCUAAUAUUUCACCUACCUGAGCGGAUAUGAUAAGAACAAACACAAAUGUUGUCAGGAUUCUUGCCCUGGAAAUCCUAGUUCAGUUUGUCCAACCACAAAUGCCUUUUAUUCCUCAAAAAUAGCUUUUCGCACUCUUCUCCUUGAUUUUGGUAACUGAACUUUUGGCAGUCUAUAGUACUCCAAAUGUUUUACCUGAUCCGACCUAUUAGUAUAGCCCAAAACAUGACAAUAAUUGACCAUUUCAACAGCAAUAAUCAGCAAAAUAUGCGAGUUUCGAUCGAUUCUGAUUGUUUACGUUGAGUGCCGCUAAUAUGGCCGAUUGAUGACGUGUCCUGAAAACACUAUUCAAAAGAUUUGGGUCAGUAAGAUUUUUUUUUUUUCUUUUAAUAAAGAAAUAAAUGCUUUUAUUCAUCAAAGACGCAUUAAAUUAAUUUGUCACCCAAUUUUUAUAUUUGUUGUCCAAUAAAAUGCAAUGCAAUAAAAUAAAA